CCGCGGUAACACCGGCGGCCCGAGUGGUAGCCGUUUUUAUUGGGUCUAAAGGGUCCGUAGCCGGCCUGAUAAGUCCUUUGGGAAAUCUGGCAGCUUAACUGUCAGGCUUCUAAGGGAUACUGUCAGGCUUGGGACCGGAAGAGGUAAGGGGUACUCCAGGGGUAGGAGUGAAAUCUUGUAAUCCCUGGGGGACCAUCUGUGGCGAAGGCGCCUUACCAGAACGGGUCCGACGGUGAGGGACGAAAGCUAGGGGAGCAAACCGGAUUAGAUACCCGGGUAGUCCUAGCUGUAAACGAUGCUCGCUAGGUGUCAGACACGGUGCGACCGUGUUUGGUGCCGCAGGGAAGCCGUUAAGCGAGCCACCUGGAAGUACGUCGCAAGGC
rnacentral:rRNA from 2 species